AUUGAACGCUGGCGGCAUGCCUAACACAUGCAAGUCGAACGAGGUUGGCUUCGGCCAGCCUAGUGGCGGACGGGUGAGUAAUGCGUGGGAAUCUGCCUCGUAGUGGGGGAUAACGUAGGGAAACUUACGCUAAUACCGCAUACGCUCUACGGAGGAAAGGGGGGGAUCUUUGGACCUCUCGCUAUGAGAUGAGCCCACGUCUGAUUAGCUAGUUGGUGGGGUAAAGGCCUACCAAGGCGACGAUCAGUAGCCGGCCUGAGAGGGUGUACGGCCACACUGGGACUGAGACACGGCCCAGACUCCUACGGGAGGCAGCAGUGGGGAAUAUUGGACAAUGGGCGAAAGCCUGAUCCAGCAAUGCCGCGUGUGUGAAGAAGGCCUGCGGGUUGUAAAGCACUUUAAGUGGGGAAGAAUGGGAUUGCGCUAAUACCGUGAUCCUUUGACGUUACCCACAGAAUAAGCACCGGCUAACUCCGUGCCAGCAGCCGCGGUAAUACGGAGGGUGCGAGCGUUAAUCGGAAUUACUGGGCGUAAAGCGCAUGUAGGCGGUUUGAUAAGUCGGAUAUGAAAUCCCUGGGCUUAACCUAGGAAUGGCAUUCGAUACUGUCAGGCUAGAGUAGGAUAGAGGAGAGGGGAAUUCCGCGUGUAGCAGUGAAAUGCGUAGAUAUGCGGAGGAACACCAAUGGCGAAGGCGCCUCUCUGGGGCCAUACUGACGCUGAGA
rnacentral:rRNA from 1 species